UUCUUUGCUGCGAGUGAUCUAGUCCAAACUUGUAUAGAUACUCGAAUCCAUCAGUACACUCUAUUGCAUAUUUGCUUGAUAUAUGUAAGCAACCAUUUGCCUUGAUGUAUCUGUUGUCUGAACGUGGCAAAUUGCCUAUGUUGCACAUUGAUACACUCUCGUAUGCUAUGUUUUCCCUAUUUAUAUAGCAAAAAGUAUUUUUUUACUCAGUAUGUUUCCAAUAUGUAUUACGUUGAAACUUAUACAUUAAAAUGACUUCUGAAAAGCCACCACAAUGGCAUCGGCAUCCUUAUGAAAUCGAGUUUCUCCUCCCACUAGAUUUAGCUCUUGGAGCUUUUAGUAUGCCGUAUAAACCAGUAGCAACAAACAUAUAAGCUUUGAUUCUCUUUGGCUCCUCCACGCUUCCAUGACACUGAAAAUUCUAUCACUGAAUAUUUUGUUAAGAAAAUUUGAUUUUGCAUAUUGUUUGUCUUCAUGUGAACUUCCGUAAUUCUCGUAAUAUUUCCUUCAAAACAUAGAGUGUACUGAUGGAUGUGUGUUGCAACCAUUUGCCUUGAUGCAUGUGUGUUGCAUGCUUGUUUGAAUAAUAAUUCAGUGCCAAGUUCCUACAUAUAGUAUCAUUGUUGUCAUUGUGCCUUGCUUACUUUUUUUUACUGCUUUGCCACUGAUUGAGCUGAGUAGGAUCACAGACACACUAAAAAUAGGACAAUGUUUUUUUACUGCACAAGCAAUUAGGUGUCAGCAAUACAACAAUCUUGCAUUGAUAUGGGUAAACUAGAAAUAAGCAGACUGCUAGUGCAAAAGGAGGCCAGGGCAUGACAUCUUUUUGACUACAGAAUGGAUGGAUGGUGAUUGUUGAGAAGGCUGAGAGAAGUGAUAUUCCUGACAUCGACAAGAAAAAGUCAGUUCUCAACUUCUCUACUAGAUAUCUGAAAAGUAUUUCUACUUAGGCUGAGAGAAGGCUGAGAGGUGAUUGUAUGGACUCUUUUGUUUAAUCUCGAUGUAUAAGCUCAUAUGGUUGAAUUCUGCUGCUAUAAUUAUAUAUUAUAUAUGUUGUACAAAUGAUGCAAUAUUAUUAUAU